UUGACGGGACCGCACAAGCGGUGGAUGAUGUGGUUUAAUUCGAUGCAACGACGAAAACCUUACCCACCUUUGACAUGGCAGGAAUCCUGAAGAGAUUUGGGAGUGCUCGAAAGAGAACCUGCACACAGGUGCUGCAUGGCUGUCGUCAGCUCGUGUCGUGAGAUGUUGGGUUAAGUCCCGCAACGAGCGCAACCCUUGCCAUUAGUUGCUACGAAAGGGCACUCUAAUGGGACUGCCGGUAACAAACCGGAGGAAGGUGGGGAUGACGUCAAGUCCUCAUGGCCCUUAUAGGUGGGGCUACACACGUCAUACAAUGGCCGGUACAGAGGGUAGCCAACCCGCGAGGGGGAGCCAAUCCCACAAAGCCGGUCGUAGUCCGGAUCGCAGUCUGCAACUCGACUGCGUGAAGUCGGAAUCGCUAGUAAUCGCGGAUCAGCAUGUCGCGGUGAAUACGUUCCCGGGUCUU
rnacentral:rRNA from 1 species